rnacentral:tRNA from 1 species
GGCCCUUUAGCUCAGUGGUUAUAGCAGGCGACUAAUAAUCGCUUGGUCGCUGGUUCAAGUCCAGCAGGGGGCACCA